rnacentral:tRNA from 1 species
GAAGGGAUAGCUCAGUGGUAGAGUGCAUGCUUAGCAUGCACAAGGUCCUGGGUUCAACCCCCGGUACUGCCA